UCACUGCAUCAAUCUACUCCAUUUAUCUCACAGAUGUGACCGGAAGGGCUAGAUUAGCUGAUUUUGGCAUAAGCAGACGUUUGCCCAGAGACCAAACUACUUCUCACACACGCAGUGCAGGAACAGAAGGCUGGAUGGCCACAGAGACUUUAAAAGAAGAUGGUGACAUACGAUACAAAUGGAGCACAGAUAUACAGGUGGCAGGAAUGCUGAUUUAUUUCAUCCUCUCCGGUGGACACCAUCCUUUUGGUGGUGAACGCUAUAAGCUUAUGUCAAACAUU